rnacentral:rRNA from 1 species
GACGAACGCUGGCGGCGUGCCUAAUACAUGCAAGUCGAACGCAGUGGGGACGGGUGAGUAACACGUGGGUAACCUCCCAUCAGAGGGGAUAACACUUGGAAACAGGUGCUAAACCGAUACUGAUGGAUGAACCCGCGGUGCAUUAGCUAGUUGGUGAGGUAACGGCUCACCAAGGCCACGAUGCCUAGCCGACCUGAGAGGGUGACCGGCCACACUGGAACUGAGACACGGCCCAGACUCCUACGGGAGGCAGCAGUAGGGAAUCUUCGGCAAUGGACGAAAGUCUGACGGAGCAACGCCGCGUGAGUGAAGAAGGUCUUCGGAUCGUAAAACACUGUCGUUAGAGAAGCGGUAUCUAACCAGAAAGCAACGGCUAACUACGUGCCAGCAGCCGCGGUAAUUC